rnacentral:rRNA from 1 species
UCCGGUUGAUCCUGCCRGACCCGACUGCUAUCAGAGUGGGAUUAAGCCAUGCGAGUCAACGUAGCAAUACGUGGCACACGGCUCAGUAACACGUAGUCAACAUAACCAAAGGACGUGGAUAAACUCGGGAAACUGAGGCUAAACCGCGAUAGACCAAUAUACCUGGAAUGGUUUUUGAUUAAAAUCUAUAUGGCCUUUGGAUUGGACUGCGACUGAUCAGGCUGUUGGUGAGGUAAUGGCCCACCAAACCUGUAACCGGUACGGGCUCUGAGAGGAGGAGCCCGGAGAUGGGUACUGAGACAAGGACCCAGGCCCUAUGGGGCGCAGCAGGCGCGAAACCUCUGCAAUAGGCGAAAGCCUGACAGGGUUACUCUGAGUGACUUUCGCUAAGAAAGUCCUUUGACACCUCUAAAAAUGGUGUAGAAUAAGGGGUGGGCAAGUCUGGUGUCAGCCGCCGCGGUAAUACCAGCACCCCGAGUGGUCGGGACGAUUAUUGGGCCUAAAGCAUCCGUAGCCGGUUCUACAAGUCUUCCGUUAAAUCCACCUGCUCAACAGAUGGGCUGCGGAAGAUACUAUGGAGCUAGGAGGCGGGAGAGGCAAGCGGUACUCGAUGGGUAGGGGUAAAAUCCGUUGAUCCAUUGAAGACCACCAGUGGCGAAGGCGGCUUGCCAGAACGCGCUCGACGGUGAGGGAUGAAAGCUGGGGGAGCAAACCGGAUUAGAUACCCGGGUAGUCCCAGCUGUAAACGAUGCAGACUCGGUGAUGAGUUGGCUUUAUGCCAACUCAGUGCCGCAGGGAAGCCGUUAAGUUUGCCGCCUGGGGAGUACGGUCGCAAGACUGAAACUUAAAGGAAUUGGCGGGGGAGCACCACAAGGGGUGAAGCCUGCGGUUCAAUUGGAKUCAACGCCGGRA